rnacentral:rRNA from 1 species
UACGUGGGGGGCAAGCGUUGUUCGGAAUUACUGGGCGUAAAGGGCUCGUAGGCGGCCAACUAAGUCAUACGUGAAAUCCCUCGGCUUAACCGGGGAACUGCGUCUGAUACUGGAUGGCUUGAGAUUGGGAGAGGGAUGCGGAAUUCCAGGUGUAGCGGUGAAAUGCGUAGAUAUCUGGAGGAACACCGGUGGCGAAGGCGGCAUCCUGGACCAACACUGACGCUGAGGAGCGAAAGCCAGGGGAGCAAACGGG